AAAUACAAAAGUUGUCUCCAUAGAGAUGUAUUUAAAAAUAAUAAUUGAAACAUGUUUUACAAGGUAAAAUUGGGGAUGCGCAAAUGAUUUAAAUUAACAAAAAUAAUAAACAAGUAUAUAAAUAUAAUUUGAUUAAAAAGUGAGCAGGUUUUAUUCAAAUCUCCUAAAUGUCAUGGCAAAUGAUUGUGUUUAUUUGCUUUCAAUCAAUC
rnacentral:lncRNA from 1 species